rnacentral:rRNA from 1 species
UACGUAGGGCGCAAGCGUUGUCCGGAAUUAUUGGGCGUAAAGAGCUCGUAGGUGGCUUGUCACGUCGGGUGUGAAAGCUUGGGGCUUAACUCCAGGUCUGCAUUCGAUACGGGCUGGCUAGAGGUAGGUAGGGGGAGAACGGAAUUCCUGGUGUAGCGGUGAAAUGCGCAGAUAUCAGGAGGAACACCGGUGGCGAAGGCGGUUCUCUGGGCCUUACCUGACGCUGAGGAGCGAAAGCGUGGGGAGCGAACAGG